ensembl:lncRNA
GACCCCCAUGUUUCCUAUCCAGUAACCCCAGGCCACGACCUCCUCGCCAGGAACCGACAAAACAAAGACGAGCCUUUAGCGGCCUGAAGACGCGUUCAUGUGCAGACUCCAGGAGCCUGCAGCACUGCAGCACCACCAGAGGGAGGCGCUUAGCUGUUGUUGUUCCCUGUGUUCCAGUGCCAGUCUCCCCCUCUCCCAGCAGAGCCUCCCCUGAGCUCCCAGUCUGCCCGUCCAACAUCCUCCACUGUCACUGACUCUGGGCAGCAGGGGACUGGAUCCAACCCUGCUCCAGCCUCAGCCCUACCUCAUGGCCAUACUCAGAAAGGAGAGAAGGAAACAGAGGAGAUGGGUUUCUCCAGUCCCUAGUGUCUGUGAGGGAUCUCUCUGAGUUUGACAGCCCACCAUCCAGCCAGUACAGCCGAAGCACAGACCUGGGUAGUGGCCUGAGCAGUCCUCUAUGUGCAAAUCUGAGUGACCUGGACUCAGAGGGUGGCUCUCCUCUCUUCCAGAACAGCUCCUCUUCCAUGUCCCUGUCUGUUCUGCCCUCAUGCAACCCACAGGACCCCCCAGCACACCAGCCCCCAAACCCAGCCCCUCACCACCCUCUACACCAUCCCCUCCCUACCCAGGCCCAACUCUGCCCACCUGACUGGACCACCACGGAGCCCCAGCCAGGCCAUGUCCUCCAUCCCAACCCAGACCCUACUACCCUAGCUUUCCCCUCAGACACCUGGCAGUCCUACCCCAGCCCACAGUGCAGGAUAACUCCCCGGCCAGGGUCACGGUUAGGGUCAGGUUUGACCUCAUCUCCUGUUGUGGCGGAGAGGCAGGACUGGACAUCACACCGCUGGUCAGUCCUUCCCCCGCAUCUCUCCUGUCAGAGGUGAGGAAUGAUUCCUGCCUGUCCCAUAUGGGCCGUUCACAGCCUCCUCCCAGCCCUCCCAGCCUCCUUCCCAGCCUCCCUCCCUGUCCAGCAGCAGCCUACACCGGUGCCCCUUACCUAGCGCCACGGGGCUGAUUGUCCACAACAUGGCUGGACAUCUUCCCUGGUACAAAGAGACGGCAGCCAACAGACAACAGAGGAAAUCAAAGCCUGGCUCUAUAGAGACGCCCUCCUCAGAUCAGAUGCUCCUGUCCCCAUCGCCGGUCUGCAUUGUGAGGUUCUGCUGUCAGCCCUGUUUUGUUUCCCCUCGUAAUAAAUAACGCAGAAAGCUUUUCUUUUCCCUUUAAAGCGGCAAUAGAAAGAGGACUCUUUUGAUGAAGAGCUGGUACCGUUUGAUUCCCAGUUCAAAGGCGCGCAAGGCCCCUUCACAAUAGGAGGGAGUGGGGGGGUUCCCUGCCUCGUGUGCCGUCCCCUCUCAGCCGCGGCUUCCCCGCGCUCUCGCCAUUCUCCCGGUCGCUGAAAGGGAGACGUGUAGCCGAUGGUCAUAAAUCCACACUGACCACCGCACGCUGACGGGGGAAACAGUUAGAGCUACGGUCCACAAUAGAAUAUAGCGGCUUUCCGUCGCAGCUAAUUUACCGUUUAGAAUAGAGAUAAAGGACGGGGCCACUGACAUCUGACUUUUAUGGGGGGCUUUAUGAAAGACUAUGAAAAGAGAGCAAACAAUUGGGAAAUUGUGUAUGGAUUUUCUUUCUCUAUCAGAAAUGAUGAUGCCGCCUGCGCUCUUCUAAGGUCCUUACUACUGAUUAGUAUCGGUUCCAGGUGCGUAGGAGUCAAAGUAAGAACACUGAAAGAGAUUUUGAC